rnacentral:rRNA from 1 species
UAAUAACUGGGGUGAAGUCGUAACAAGGUAGCCGUAUCGGAAGGUGCGGCUGGAUCACCUCCUUUCUAAGGAGA